rnacentral:rRNA from 1 species
CUGCUGCCUCCCGUAGGAGUUUGGGCCGUGUCUCAGUCCCAAUGUGGCCGUUCACCCUCUCAGGCCGGCUACUGAUCGUUGCCUUGGUAGGCCAUUACCCCACCAACUAGCUAAUCAGACGCGGAACCAUCGUAUACCACCAGAGUUUUUCCACACCGCUUCAUGCGAAGCUGUGCGCUUAUGCGGUAUUAGCACCUAUUUCUAAGUGUUAUCCCCCAGUAUACGGCAGGUUUUCCACGCGUUACUCACCCGUCCGCCA